rnacentral:tRNA from 1 species
AAGAUAUUAGUAAAAUAAUUGCAUAACUUUGUCAAAGUUAACUUAUAGGUGGAACUCCUAUAUAUCUUA